AGCGGCAGACGGGAGAGUAACACGUGGGAACAUGCCCUUCGGUUCGGAAUAACUCAGGGAAACUUGAGCUAAUACCGGAUACGUCCGUAAGGAGAAAGAUUUAUCGCCGAAGGAUUGGCCCGCGUCCGAUUAGCUAGUUGGUGAGGUAACGGCUCACCAAGGCGACGAUCGGUAGCUGGUCUGAGAGGAUGAUCAGCCUCACUGGGACUGAGACACGGCCCAGACUCCUACGGGAGGCAGCAGUGGGGAAUAUUGGACAAUGGGCGCAAGCCUGAUCCAGCCAUGCCGCGUGGGUGAUGAAGGCCCUAGGGUUGUAAAGCCCUUUCGGCGGGGAAGAUAAUGACGGUACCCGCAGAAGAAGCCCCGGCUAACUUCGUGCCAGCAGCCGCGGUAAUACGAAGGGGGCUAGCGUUGCUCGGAAUCACUGGGCGUAAAGCGCACGUAGGCGGAUCGUUAAGUCAGGGGUGAAAUCCUGGAGCUCAACUCCAGAACUGCCUUUGA
rnacentral:rRNA from 1 species